rnacentral:rRNA from 1 species
GACGAACGCUGGCGGCGUGCUUAACACAUGCAAGUCGAACGGAAAGGCCCUGCUUUUGUGGGGUGCUCGAGUGGCGAACGGGUGAGUAACACGUGAGUAACCUGCCCUUGACUUUGGGAUAACUUCAGGAAACUGGGGCUAAUACUGGAUAGGAGCUCCUGCUGCAUGGUGGGGGUUGGAAAGUUUCGGCGGUUGGGGAUGGACUCGCGGCUUAUCAGCUUGUUGGUGGGGUAGUGGCUUACCAAGGCUUUGACGGGUAGCCGGCCUGAGAGGGUGACCGGCCACAUUGGGACUGAGAUACGGCCCAGACUCCUACGGGAGGCAGCAGUGGGGAAUAUUGCACAAUGGGCGGAAGCCUGAUGCAGCAACGCCGCGUGCGGGAUGACGGCCUUCGGGUUGUAAACCGCUUUCGCCUGUGACGAAGCGUGAGUGACGGUAAUGGGUAAAGAAGCACCGGCUAACCACGUG